rnacentral:rRNA from 1 species
GAUGAACGCUAGCGAUAGGCUUAACACAUGCAAGUCGAGGGGCAGCAUAAGAGUAGCAAUACUUUGGUGGCGACCGGCGCACGGGUGAGUAACGCGUAUGCAACCUACCCAUAACUGGGGGAUAACCCGUCGAACGGCGGCCUAAUACCCCAUAAUCAAUAGAAGCUUCAUGGUUUUUAUUGUAAAGAAUUUCGGUUAUGGAUGGGCAUGCGUGACAUUAGGUAGUUGGUAGGGUAACGGCCUACCAAGCCUACGAUGUCUAGGGGUUCUGAGAGGAAGGUCCCCCACACUGGUACUGAGACACGGACCAGACUGCUACGGGAGGCAGCAGUGAGGAAUAUUGGUCAAUGGGCGAGAGCCUGAACCAGCCAAAUCGCGUGAAGGAUGAAGGUAUUAUGUAUUGUAAACUUCUUUUGUCAGGGAAUAAAGUGCAUCACGUGUGGUGUUUUGUAUGUACCUGAAGAAUAAGCAUCGGCUAACUCCGUGCCAGCAGCCGCGGUAACAC